rnacentral:rRNA from 1 species
AAAUGAAUAGACGGGGGCCCGCACAAGCAGCGGAGCAUGUGGCUUAAUUCGAAGCAACGCGAAGAACCUUACCUGGGUUUGACAUAUAGGUGAAGCGGCGGAAACGUCGUGGCCGAAAGGAGCCUAUACAGGUGGUGCAUGGCUGUCGUCAGCUCGUGUCGUGAGAUGUUGGGUUAAGUCCCGCAACGAGCGCAACCCUCGUCGCAUGUUGCCAGCAGUUCGGCUGGGCACCCGUGCGAGACCGCCGGCGUUAAGCCGGAGGAAGGUGGGGACGACGUCAAGUCAUCAUGCCCCUUAUAUCCAGGGCUGCACACGUGCUACAAUGACCGGCACAACGGGCUGCGAACUCGCGAGAGUAAGCGAAUCCCUUAAAGCCGGCCCCAGUUCGGAUCGGAGGCUGCAACCCGCCUCCGUGAAGUCGGAGUUGCUAGUAAUCGCGGAUCAGCACGCCGCGGUGAAUGCGUUCCCGGGCCUUGUACACACCGCCCGU